UACGUAGGGUGCAAGCGUUGUCCGGAAUUAUUGGGCGUAAAGAGCUCGUAGGCGGUUCGUCGCGUCGGCUGUGAAGACCCGGAGCUCAACUCCGGGCCUGCAGUCGAUACGGGCGGACUAGAGUUCGGCAGGGGAGACUGGAAUUCCUGGUGUAGCGGUGAAAUGCGCAGAUAUCAGGAGGAACACCGGUGGCGAAGGCGGGUCUCUGGGCCGAUACUGACGCUGAGGAGCGAAAGCGUGGGGAGCGAACAGG
rnacentral:rRNA from 1 species